rnacentral:rRNA from 1 species
UACGGAGGGGGCUAGCGUUGUUCGGAAUUACUGGGCGUAAAGAGCUCGUAGGUGGUUUGUCGCGUUGUCCGUGAAAACUCACAACUCAAUUGUGGGCGUGCGGGCGAUACGGGCAGACUGGAGUACUGCAGGGGAGACUGGAAUUCCUGGUGUAGCGGUGGAAUGCGCAGAUAUCUGGAGGAACACCGGUGGCGAAGGCGGCAUCCUGGACCAACACUGACGCUGAGGAGCGAAAGCCAGGGGAGCAAACGGG